UACGUAGGUGACGAGCGUUAUCCGGAAUUACUGGGCGUAAAGCGCACGCAAGCGGUUGGACAAGUCUGGCGUGAAAUCUCCUGGCUUAACUAGGAGCGGUCGCUGGAAACUGUCGAGCUUGAGGCGAUGAGAGGGGUGCAGAAUUCCCGGUGUAGUGGUGGAAUGCGUAGAGAUCGGGAGGAAUACCAGUGGCGAAAGCGGCACCCUGGCGUCGUACUGACGCACAUGUGCGAAAGCGUGGGGAGCGAACGGG
rnacentral:rRNA from 1 species